rnacentral:tRNA from 16 species
GUGACCCAGUGGUUAUAGCACAGGUCUCACAAAUGAGAGGUGCAGGUUCAAAC